GACAGAGGGUGCAAACGUUGCUCGGAAUUACUGGGCGUAAAGCGCGUGUAGGCGGACCCGCAAGUCGGACGUGAAAUCCCUGAGCUCAACUCAGGAACUGCAUCCGAAACUGCGGGUCUGGAGUGGUGGAGAGGGAAGCAGAAUUCCUGGUGUAGAGGUGAAAUUCGUAGAUAUCAGGAGGAACACCGGUGGCGAAGGCGGCUUCCUGGACACUUACUGACGCUGAGUGAGCGAAAGCCAGGGGAGCAAACGGG
rnacentral:rRNA from 1 species